GUGUAUGAUCUGAUGCUUUCUUCUUCAAAUUUUGCCUUGCACUCCUCAGCACUCCUCCUGAAGCCAAGCUCUGCAAGCUUCCUGCAUGCAACCCACUAUAAAAAAUGAAUACGAACAGACCUAACUUCUUGUUUAAUGGGCCGAAGAAACCGAACCAGUCAUCAACAAGAUCGUGAGCCUCAGUUCACCAAACUACAUUGGAAAGUCCAAAAGGACUAUGAAUUCGAUGCAUGCAUGUGCGACACAUAUGCACACAUGGACAAAACACACAUGCACCGAGAGGGAAA